UACGGGGGAGCAAGCGUUGUUCGGAUUUACUGGGCGUAAAGAGCGCGCAGGCGGCUGGUCAAGUCCGAUGUGAAAUCUCCCGGCUACAACGUGGGAAACUGCAUCGGAAACGUGAUCGGCUUGAAGAUGGGAGAGGGUAGUGGGAAUUCCCGGUGUAGUGGUGAAAUGCGUAGAUAUCGGGAGGAACACCAGUGGCGAAGGCGACUACCUGGCCCAUUCUUGACGCUGAGGCGCGAAAGCUAGG
rnacentral:rRNA from 1 species